AACGAACGCUGGCGGCAGGCCUAACACAUGCAAGUCGAGCGCCCCGCAAGGGGAGCGGCGGACGGGUGAGUAACGCGUGGGAACGUACCCUUUGCUACGGAAUAGCCUCGGGAAACUGGGAGUAAUACCGUAUGUGCCCUUCGGGGGAAAGAUUUAUCGGCAAAGGAUCGGCCCGCGUUGGAUUAGGUAGUUGGUGGGGUAAUGGCCUACCAAGCCGACGAUCCAUAGCUGGUUUGAGAGGAUGAUCAGCCACACUGGGACUGAGACACGGCCCAGACUCCUACGGAGGCAGCAGUGGGGAAUCUUAGACAAUGGGCGCAAGCCUGAUCUAGCCAUGCCGCGUGAGCGAUGAAGGCCUUAGGGUUGUAAAGCUCUUUCAGUGGGGAAGGAUAAUGACUGUACCCACAGAAGAAGCCCCGGCUAACUCCGUGCCAGCAGCCGCGGUAAAGUAGACGU
rnacentral:rRNA from 1 species